rnacentral:lncRNA from 1 species
UGCAGCCUGCCAGUCUAAAGAGCAGGAAAACCAGGUGGGUAGCCUCUUUUGCCUUUGGCAUCUCUGUACCCCUUCUCACAGGGGAAUUGGUUAUAGCCCUACUCCCAAACCUGCAGGUCCUGCCAUGGUGACUGCUGAGUUACAGGUUGCCUCUUCCUGACCCUCAGCCCUAUAGAGUCUGCUUCACUACAAUCCUUAUAAGGGAUCAGACACACAGGGAUGAGUUCAGUUCACCUGGGCUGCCUACUAUUCUCUGUCCACCAGUCUAGAUUUCUGCCAGCAUUCCCUUUCCUCAGCAGUGACUAGGAUCCAAACCUCUAGUCUGCCUGACGCCACUCUAAUGAAACAAAGCGCCACCUUAAAGCUGGUCCAGCUGCUGAAAUCCUGGUGAUCUGCCCCCAUGCCCACUGGUGUUAUACCUGCGCACCUGCCUCCCCUCGUCCCAUCCCUUUGCAGAGCCCCUGCGGUUUGACUGGCUAGGCCAGUCCUGGAUCUUCGAGAAUUUGGCCUGCAACUCUUUCCUCUACCUGCUCUGGAUCACACAGGGCACCAAGGUCCUAGUUUACCUUACCCAGCUCUCCCAGAUUGGCGCAUUUAAAACACUGGUUUCCUUGGUAAAAUGGGAAGACUGAAAAAUUACUCUCAGGGUCAAGCAAGUUAAAAAACAUUUCCUUUGUUUUAAUGCAAAUCUAAAAGGUACACAAUAGAGAUCAGCCCCUCCUGUGGGCUGCCAGAUGUCUAGCACCUCCACUUGGCUGUGUCAGCUUGGUCCAGUUACUGAACUUGGCGGGUUUCUGUUGGUUGGUUUGAAACCUCGGGAGCUUCCGAGUGAAAUCUGAAACUGGGCUCAAACACAGAGGGUAAGGAGAGCCUGUCGAAAGAGGCAUCCACUCCAGAUUGAGAGGUGGCAGGUUUAGGAAGAAGGGAACUUACAUAGGAGGCUUCUCUUGGGUGCUGCAAGACCAGAUCUCCACACCCACCCGCCAGAACCUUAAACGUGUAUUUAGAGACUCUAAUGGGGUUCAGUCACGUGUUCAGUCCUGAUGGUCUCAACAACGCAUUAUCCUCUCAAAGCUACAUCCUUAAAAAUGGCUCCCACUGUGGGACUGUGAGUGGAAUGUAUAUUCCAAGGACAGGGCACGGGGCAGGAUUGUUGAGGAGCUUCUGAUUGCGUGGGUCCAGCCAGAGGGUCAACCAGUGGUCGCAUCCUCCAAUGACUUCAUCCAGCACCAUUUCUCCACCCGUAAAAUGGGAGCACCCAUGGUGCAUGUCUGCAGAUAUCUUGUGAGGAUUUUUGAAAUAAUGCUACGUCAUAGUGUUAUUGUCGUUUCAGAUAUGUUUCUUUUUAAAGCAAAAGGUUAAGCUUUCUUACUGAGAUUUUCAGUGUAUCCAAAUUACAUAGGGUUAUCACAUGCUGAAAUUUCACCAGGGACCGUCCUCACGCAGCAUGAUGCUAUGAUGACUGAAAUGUGUGUGGGAACUGCGUCCUCACUUUGCCUGGUUCGCUGGUCACUGACAUUAGCCCAGCAAAGCAAGGACUAUCUGUGUAUGCAAAGCACUGGCCUAGAUUCUUUAUUUCAUAUCCGUACAGUCCUCACUUCCCUCUCUGUAAUGUUCUUACUGUAUUCCCCAUUUUUUGCAGAGGGAACUAAGUAAGGCUUAAGAAUGUUCGUGAAAUUUUCCUAGAUCCCAAAUCUAUCAGUCAAACCCAGGUAUGGAUGGCAUCAAAGGCCACAUUUUUCCCACUGACAUAUGCUUGGUGCUUUCUCUGAGAAUAAAGUAGAAUAACAAUGUAUAUACAGAUGGCCGACAAGCACAUGAAAAGAUGCUCGGCAUCAGUAAUUAUUAGAGAAAUUCCAAUCAAAACUACAAUGAGGUAUUACUCAAACUGAUCAGAAUGGCCAUCAUCAAAAAGUCUACAAAUAAUAAAGGCCAGAGAGGGUGUGGAGAAAAGGAAACCCUCCUGUGCUAUUAGUGGAGCCGUAAAUUGGUGCAGUCACUAUGGAGAACAGUAUGGAUAUUCCUUUAAAAACUAAAAAUAGAGUUACUACAGGAUCCCGCAGUCCCACUUCUGGGCAAUUAUCCAGAGAAAACUCUAAUUCCAAAAGAUACAUGCAGAGUUCUCUGGUGGCUCAGUGGGUUAAGGAUCCGGCGUUUUCAUUGCUGUGGCUUGGAUCACUCUUGUGGUGUGGAUUCAGUCUCUAACCCAGGAGCUUCCAUGUGCUGCAGGCAUGGCCAAAAAAAAAGGAUACAUGCACCCCAGUGUUCAUAGCAUUACUGUUUACAAUAGCCAAGACAUUGAAGCAACCUAAGUGUCCAUCGACAGAUGAAUGGAUCAAGAAAGUGUGGUAGAUGUAUUCAGUGGAGUAUUAUUCAGCCAUAAAAAGGAAUGCAGUAAUGUCACUUGCAGCAACACAGACAGACUUGGAGAUUAUCGUACUAAAUGAAGUAAGUCAGACAGAAAAAGGCAAAUAUCAGAUGAUAUAGCUUAUAUGUAGAAUCUAAAAAAAAAUGAUAACAAAAAUGAAAUUAUUUACAAAACAGAAAUAGACUCACAGACCUACAAAACAAACUUAAGGUAAUCCAAGGGGGAAGAGGAAGUAAGGGAUAAAUUAGGAGUUUGGGAUUAACAUAUACACACUACUAUAUAUAAAACAGAUUAACAACAAGGACCUACUGUAUAGCAGAGGGAGCUGUAUUCAGUAUCUUAUAACCUAUAAUGAAAAAGAAUCUGAAAAAGAAAAUAUAUAUAUCUGAAUCACUUUGCUAUACACCUAAAACUAAUAUAUAGUAAAUCAAUUGUACUUCAACUUUUUUUUGAAAAAGUAUAUAUGUUUUUUAAGGUCUCAAUUCAAAUGGAAUGCUUUCUCAAGUAUUUGAUAAAUAGCAAAGAAAUUUUUGUUUCAAGUUAUUUUUACAUCUUCAGUAUUUAGAGCAUAUUCCAGCCAUCAAUAAUAUUUUGUUACAUGGAGCCUAAUCGUUGUUAAAAAGAAAAAUCAGCAAGUAUAUGGAGGCUCCCUUUAUUCUGCGUAUAUUUUUUCAAUCUUACUGAAUACCUUGAAAAUUUCUUUCAGUAUACAUUGGAUUUGCCAUUUCAGAAGUGGUUAUGUCACUGUUUUAAUCUCAUAAAGCAGAGUUUGCGGAAAUAAAAAUGUUGGUUUUCUCUCUGAGAUGAGGAGGUGAACAAAGGUUUUAAUCUGACAUGCAAACUGAAAAAUAGGAACAUCUGUUUGUGAUGUUGAGAUCUGGCUUCAGUGUGUAUUCCUUCAUGUUCAGCCAACACAGGCCAGGUAUUAUUAUGAUGCACUGGGCUAGAUGGUCUAAAAUACCUUCCUACUUAUCUUUACUUUAUAUGCAUUUUUGUUCAGUUGUAUUUGUAGAAAAAGGAUGUGUUUGGAGGAUGACAUAAGAGCAACUUAUUGAGUGAUAAUAGUGUGGCAGACCCUGAACUAAGUGCCCAAGAGGCUGUAUUUCAUUUAAUUCUCACAAGCACUCUCUAAAGUAGGUUCUCUUACUAUUUCCAUUUUAAGAAGGAGUAAACUGAAGGACAGAGGGUUGAAGACAUGUGUCCAAGGUCACACAUUGCUUCACAACUUCUUUCACUAUUUUAAAAUAAUUCUUCGCCCAUUUUUAUUAGCAUUAUCAAGUCAUAGUUCAACUCAGCUUAUCCUGCAAAAGUGUGUCAUGAAUCAUAGAUUAUUUUUUGCACAUAAUCAUUUUCAGAUAAGCUGCAGUAAGACUCACCGGCUCCUUAAUUUUCCAGAAAUUGCUCACUUGCAUGCACAGGAUUCAUGUUCUUUGCUCUUGGCAAGCAGACAUUGCCACUUGCCCUAAGUCUUGAAACUGACCUAGUCUCCUCUUAAUAGUUUAGGGAAUCAGCAGCUUUGGCGAUGCAGUAUUUUUGUGGAUUCCAACAAAGGAGUCAAGGAGAAGAUAACCUCUCCAAAGAUCACUAUCUAACUAGCGAGACCAAUUUAUCCACUUGAUGGUGAAAGUUGUGAAUUGUUCAAAAGUUUUCUAAAGCACGCAAUGUCACUGGCUUGACUCUCCUGACUGCCAAAUUGGAGGAGGCAAGAGAGAUGGCAUGUUCUCGAUAAACAGUUCUGCAGCUGUUGAAAAGGUCAAGUGGUUUAGCAAGUUCUUGCCUAAGGACAGCCCUUUGCCUCCCAGUCCACAGGCUUGCUUUAGAAUGUAGGAAAGUGAACCGCCCUGAGCUCAGCUAACUACUCAGGCAAGUAGCAUUAAUGCGGAGUCUGCCUCCCUUGGGACACGGAGAGCUACCCCUUGCCAAGGAAGUUCCUGACUACACUGUUAGUGCAAGGAAACCCAAGGUGAGGUGCAUUCAGGCCCAAAUAAGCCCAGGAGUCUGGUCAGAGACUGGGAGUUUGGAAGCAGAAUUAUUUAGGUUCGGGCUCUAAACUUCAUGAUCACCAACCACCUCCUUCACUGUGAAGCCUGUGCAGUGCUGUGUAUCCCUAAAGCAGCUCUCCAUUUGGAAUCCAUAAAAUGCAUUUAUUUGUUGGAGUUCCUGCUGUGACAUAGUGGGUUAGAGAUCUGGCAUUGUCUCUGUGAGGGUGAGGGUUCAAUCCCCAGCCCGGCUCAGUGGGUUUAAAAUCUGGUAUUGCCACAGCUAUGGCGUAGGUCACAGCUGCAGCUUGGAUCUGAUCCCUGGCCUGGGAACUUCCAUAUGCA